UACGUAGGUGGCAAGCGUUAUCCGGAUUUAUUGGGCGUAAAGCGAGCGCAGGCGGUUGCUUAGGUCUGAUGUGAAAGCCUUCGGCUUAACCGAAGAAGUGCAUCGGAAACCGGGCGACUUGAGUGCAGAAGAGGACAGUGGAACUCCAUGUGUAGCGGUAAAAUGCGUAGAUAUAUGGAAGAACACCAGUGGCGAAGGCGGCCUGCUGGACAAUAACUGACGCUGAGGCGCGAAAGCGUGGGGAGCAAACAGG
rnacentral:rRNA from 1 species